AAAAGAAAAAAGAAAAACCUUAGGGAAAAAGGGGGUUUUAUCAAAAUAUACCGAGUUUAAACAUUCUAUAUUGUCAUUAUUCAUCAAAACUACAUUGAAACUCAGUUUGGAGGUGAAAAAGAGUUAACUGACACAGAAAACAAUCUGUUACCAAGGUUUUCUUUUUUAAGUUUAUGGUUAAUACAUGGUGUUUUCAUUCAUAAAAUGGAAUUAGAUACUGUAUUUACAAUUCUUACUCAUCUGAUCAACAGAAGCCUUUCCAGGGCAGUUGUGCUCAAACCUCAGGGUACUUGUUAAAAAGCAGAUCGUCGGGACCCACCUGAACCACCUCAGAGAUUCUAACUCAUGAGGCAGGUAAGGACCUGGAACCUGCAUUCUUGACGGUGGCCCCAUGACGGCUCUUAAGCACUUUGAGACACAUCUUGAAAACUGUUUCCCCAGGAAAAACGAAUGGGCAGGAAGUAUUGUGUGGUCAUCCCAUUUCCGUGUGGAAAUCCCUACCAAUUCCAGGCUGCUGACAGAAACGCAUUUCGUAGGUGAUUCAACAGCUUGGCCUCCUUCCUCUUCAUUCAAGUUUCAUAUCAGAGAGCAGACUGCAAAUUUACUACUUUUGAAUAUACUCCUGGAAAUUAUCACGAGCAGGAUACUUGCCCUUUGAUGGCAAAUACAGGCACGAAAGCCCAACAAUUCCAGUGUCCAGUGGAAAGAAAACAUUGGGGAAGACCCGAAAGAGAGAGAAAGCGCUCUGUGUUGGGAAAGGCGCUGGCAGGCAGUACUCACAGAGCUCGGAGGCUGAGCAACUGCUGGAAAGUGUCAACUUUAAUUUCAAAGAUUUCAUUAUGUCGCAGGUCUCUGAAACGACAGGGUUCCAAAGAUUGAUUUCAAAGUCACUGGUUUCAAAGAUUAGUUUUCGGAGUACUUCUACAGAAAGAUUACCUGCCCUCAAUCAAAGGAACACAUGAAAUAUGAGUGUCAAGUGACUGAUUAAAAAUUUUUUGUUUUGUUUAAAGAAGAACAUUCCAAUUUAUACACUUAAGCGUUGCCGCUCUUUCAGAGCAACGAGUUCUUUCGGGUGGAUGUAAAACUAUAUUCCAAAUGCCAUCAUCAUUCAAUCAUGUGGCGCCUGCUGGCUCUGCCUUGCAUCCUACACAGUCACACCUUGUGUGUAUAAGAAGGGAAAAGCACCAAAUGCCUCCCCAGCGACCUGCAGGGCAAGCAAACCAAUGACCCCUGGAAAAGAGCUGCUAUAUCUCUACAGCUAAGAGAAUCAUUGUUGGUUCUUUUCUAAUCAGCUAAAAAAAAAUCCAACAACAAGUCAAAACAUAGCACUAACUUUGAAAUCAAUCACUACAAGGGGGAAAAAAAAAUCUAAGAAAGUCUUCAGCCAAAACUCAACAAAUUACAGAAUAACAAAAACAUCUGGACAUAUUUAUAGUAUAAUAUAACUAAUCUAAAACAAGCCAUGGUAAUUUGCAGAAAGCUUAAAAAAAGAAAGCUGGUAGAUAAAGUAACAUAGAUAUUUAAAAAAAAUCUUGUCUCAUGUUUUAAAAGUUAUCGGCUAAUCAACUAACACACUUUCAUGCCUGAUUCUAAUUCUUCAAACCAGAUCGCCACCAUGGAACUGAAAAAUCCAUACUGUUUUCUAAGAGGCUUUUAAAUUAUCUUGUUCUUGUAAUUGAUCACUUUUUUCUACAUUUAGUGAAUAAAUGGAAUUCAUAUAGAAAUACAGUUCAGUUACCACACACAAAUAAUGCAAACGAAGCUGUUUGCAAACACAAGUUUGUAGUUUAUACUAGAGGCUUGAAAGACCAAACUAAACCAAACAAAAUAUGAAAAAACCCAAAACCAUACCCCACACCUACGCACAAAUACACCUGGUUAAAAAUUCGGUGUAUAUUUUUAAAAAGUAGUAAAUGUGAUAAAAUGGACAUACAUAUCAUCAAAGCUGAUAAUAAUUUGGUUCGCUCAUCUCCACACACUGCAAGGAGACAAAUCCUUCCUGUGCACCUCUUAGUAGAGGAUACAUAAAACCUUCUUCCAUGUAAAGACCCAGUGUCACCUUCUACCUACCUUCUACCUAAUGAUUUUCAUGGCUAACAUUGAUGAAGCACUUCUUAAAUAUAGACACCAUAUUUACAGCUUUACCUAAAUUAUUUCAUUUGACCUGUGGUCACCUUAUGAGGGAGACACUGAUUAUUACCAUACAAUGUGAAAUAAUUUGCCUAAGAUCACCAGCUACUUAGUGGGGAAAGCCACACACAGCCAGGGAAUUCCCAUGGAGGUGAAGCAACUUGGGGGCAAUUUCUUCAUGUACAAGUACUCAGUGGAUGAUUCAGCCAAAGGGUGGAAGCUCGCAGACCUAUGUUUCCAGAACAUAAAGUAGACUGUAGUAGAGGUUGGGACCCUGAGUCCUAUUCUCAGCCUCAACUUAGAUUCUUCAACUUGGUCAAUAUGUUGGUCAAAGCAUUAUACGCUUUUUAGUUCUCUCCUUAAAUGAGAAGAUACCUGCUGAUCUUGCAGUGUUGUGAAGAACAAAUCAAAAUUACAGGUUGAAGUGCUUUGAAAAUGACAAGCUUCUGUGGUUAAUGGAUUUGUAUUCUUUCAGACCUUUCAAGUUUCAGCUUGAGGAAAGACUAGCUUGAAGAAAGAGUAAUGGUUUAAGGGAAACAAGAAAGAAGUUGAUAAGAGCUAACACUGCCUGAGAGUUUACGAUGUUCCAGUGCUGGUAUAAGUGUCUGACAUGUAGUAAUUCAUUUAAUCCUCAUGAUGAUCCUCUGAAGGAAAUGGCUAUGUCUCUAUUUUAUAGACUGGGAAAUGGAACCCCAGAAGGGAUAAAUAACUUCCUCAAGAUCUCUUGCUGGUGUAUAGAGAGACGGGAUUUGAACCAGAAAAACAGACCAGGGACUUUGCUCUUAGCCAAUUUAUGCAAUUCUAGACCUGGGUGGUUUACCAUUUGCUAUGUGACAUAGUGGAGACAGAUGCAGUUUAAAUGCUGGCUCCUUAAGUAUUAGCUAUAGCCUGUGAAAUCUUAGUCAUGUUAUUAAGCCAGUUUCCUUGAGAAAUGAGGGUAAUUAUGCCAUUUUGGGUGGGUAGGCAGAAUUCUAAAAUGGCCCCUAAGAUUUCCACUACCUGGUGUUCAUGCACUCUCUCCUGGUAUUCAAUCAAACUGCCUGUAUUUGAAUUUGGACUCUGCUACUUUCUUGCUGUGUGACUUUGACAAAUGUGCUUAACUGUCCUAAUUCUCAGCUUCCUCAUCUGUAUCUAUACCUCAGAGGGCGAUGUGGGAGAAGAGGAGGAGACUUACUCUAUGUUCCCUCCCUUUACACACAAAUGACUGACUCCAAGGCUGUCACGUGGUGUUAUUACAAUCUCCUAUCACUGAACAACUGAAGUCUAAAGUGGCUAGGGGGCUGGGAGAGGGGAAGGCAGAAUCAUUAUGGCAGACAUUCCCAUUCUUCCCCUUACACUUGUAGUGCUGCUUGUACCUCUGCUACUGGGUGAAGCCUGUGGUGGAAUUAGAGGCAUUCAACUGACACAGAUGUCUCCUCUGUGAGAACACAGCCAUGACUGGAGACUAAGGGUCCAUUCAUUAAGUUCCCACAAUGCAUGAGAGGAUGGUAAUAGGGUUGGGAGUUGAGGGGAAGGGCUGAAAAUGGAAGGUCAAAACAAAGCUCUUCAAAUUCCUAUAAACUACUUUUCAGAAAGGGAAAGGCAGAGGAAAAAAAACCAACAACCCAAGUCAACAGAAAUAAUAAAUGCAAGCUGUUUAACCAUUAGUGGAAACAUUAGAACAUGGCACCCACAACUAUACUGGAAGAAUGUUUGGUCACCUUUAUCAAGGAUGGAAAAAUCAAAAAGAACUAUGGCCACUUACAUUGUAAUAAGAGAAGGAUUGCCUACAAAUGCUUUCUCAGGUAUUGACUUGAUAUUGUUGCUGUGAAAUCCUCUAGAAAGAGAGGGAAAAUUUUUUUUUAGAAAAUAACGUGUAGGGUAAAAUUAUGUAAUGGUACCUCCCCCCACCCCCUUCCUGUGGCAAUAAUCAACAUCUUUGGUAACUAGAGGAUACAGUUAAAUUCCUCUAUGCAUUUUGAAGCUUAUGUGCUCACUAGGAGAAAAAGAAAUCACGAGCUCUUAUCUUGAAAGAGGAAUAAAGAAUCUGAAAAUAAUAGUUGUGCUUUAUGGAAAUUUACAAUCUAAUGUUAUAAAAAGAAAUUCCAUCUGUUAAUAUCCAAUAGAGCACCAUUGUAUAACAACUUGAGAGAGAGGGAACCAUCUUUGGAGAGGGGAUUAUGAUCACUCCUUCUGACCCCAUUUGAAGCUAGGAGAAGAGAAAAUUGACUUAAGCUGCUGUGAAGCAGAGAUUUAAGUAAUCUCCUUAUGAGGGCAAAAUUUCCUGAGCUGAGGGAAGUUGCUCAGUGAGUGUGUAAUAACAAAUUGACUCUCCUCUGUCGGUGCUAAUGUUGUCUGAAUGGCAGAGGGGCAGAGUCAAUGAUCUCUGGGUCCCAUGUGGGCCUGUGGCUGGAUAAGGUGAGUGACAGUCUUUGGGUUGCCUAAGCAGAGACCACGAUGACUUCCCGGUUCAGCCACACGUGGGGUUCCUGAGGGAGAACCCCCUCCUAAAGGCUUUUUCUUACAAACAAGCCCUGUUGUCUGCCUCCUUUAGCUGUGUGUCUUAUUUCUCUCAGCCAAGAGGAUAGGCUCUAUGUUUAUUUUUCUUUCCAAAUAUUGGAACAUUCCUUUCAUACAUUAUUCAUAUUUUUAGGUACAAAGAAAAGGCAAUUAAAUUUUAGUAUAUAAAAGACAAUAUAUGCAACCUAGGAGCUGAAAGUUAGCUUUACCUUAGUAAAAUUGUAAGUUUUUAAAAAUUAAAUAUGACUCACAGAGUAUUUAAAGAAUAUGAAAUAAUGUAUGUGAAAGCAUCUAGCAUAGUACUAGGCACAUGCAUUUGAUUUCUCUAGUCCUAGACUUAUGCAGCCUAGAGAAGUUUGUUUUUCAAAAUGCUUGGCAAAUAACUGAAUUCCAUAGCAAUUUUCUAUAAAUCUAUGAAGUAUAUAAAUGUUGGGGAAAUAUAGCUUAGGAAAAGAGUAUGAUUUAGAGAACUAUGUAUAUAUUUUUUAAUAUACACAUAUUAGAGAAAUCCAUUAUAAAUUUAAAAAAGACUAUCUGAUGGUAGAGUAAAUUAAAAUAUAUUACAGGUUUACUUAACCAUUAUUUAUACAAACUUAUUUAUUUGUUUAAAUGUUUAUUUAUUUAUUUUGAGAGAGAGAGAGAGAGAGACAGAGAGAGAGAGAGAGUGGGGGAGGGGCAGAAAGAGAGUGGGAGAGAGAAAAUCCCAAGCAGGCUCCACACUCAGCAUGGAGCCCAACUUGGGGCUUGAUCUCAAGACUGCAAGAUCACUACCUGAGCUGAUAUCAAGAGUCAGAUGCUUAACCGACUGAGCCACCUAGGUGCCCCUAUACAAGCUUUUAAAAAUCUUCU